rnacentral:pre_miRNA from 1 species
AUUGUACUCCCUCCAUCCGAAAAUACUUGUCAUUGAAAUGGAUGUAUAUAGAUGUAUUUUAGUUCUAGACACAUCCAUUUUGAUGACAAGUAAUUCUAGACGGAGGGAGUAAUAA